GACACGUUUUGGAAGAACAAUACUUGGUCUAGCAGAGCUAUUCUAAUCUAAAUCAUCUUAUAAUGUAGAGACCUCUUCCUAUUACAAAGAAUUUAUUGUUUAGAUUUGAUUUAAGCAAAUGUUUUGGAGGAUUUUGAUCUAAGCAUUUGUGAAGGUAAUCAUGAAAGUAGAACAAAACAUACAUAGUCUUGACACGAGAUAAAUGUGACCAUAUAAGGUGGAAGAACACUGUUGGCUCCUAUAUCUGAAAAUUAAGGAAUAAAAAGGUGGUGUGUGAGUUGGUGUUGAAGAAGUCAAGAGGAAAGGGAAAAAAAGAGCAUUUCAAGCUAAGGGCACAGUGUCAGCACUGGUAGCAAGCAAAAGCCCAGAGGAUCCAAUCAGCCCUGGUAUUUGCCCAAAGUGGAACAGCCUUAAAUAAAGAGUAAACACCAUAAAAAAAUCUCACUGUGUCUAAGGGUAAAAUCCCAAAAUUCAACAUAGGACAUUUGGAAAAAGAUUAUAAAACAGAGGAGAAUAAAUAUGAUGAUGAAGACUCAGAAGAGCACAUACGUGAAAGUGAAAUAUGGUGGGAUUCACAAGAAGAUUCCAGAGAGAAGCUUGAUAUGCUCAAGGAUUAAACCAAUUUAAAGAAGAAGAGUGAUAUAAAUUGUUCAGAGGUGCUUUCCAAAUAUCGUUCCAGAUUUGGGGUCUGAAGAUACAAAGGAAAUGGCU